rnacentral:rRNA from 1 species
UACGGGGGGGGCAAGCGUUGUUCGGAUUUAUUGGGCGUAAAGAGCGUGUAGGCGGCCAGGCAGGUCUGCUGUGAAAACUCGAGGCUCAACCUCGAGACGUCGGCGGAAACCAUCUGGCUAGAGUCCGGAAGAGGAGAGUGGAAUUCCUGGUGUAGCGGUGAAAUGCGCAGAUAUCAGGAAGAACACCCGUGGCGAAGGCGGCUCUCUGGGACGGUACUGACGCUGAGACGCGAAAGCGUGGGGAGCAAACAGG